AUUGAACGCUGGCGGCAGGCCUAACACAUGCAAGUCGAGCGGAUGAGUGGAGCUUGCUCCAUGAUUCAGCGGCGGACGGGUGAGUAAUGUCUAGGAACCUGCCUGGUAGUGGGGGACAACGUUUCGAAAGGAACGCUAAUACCGCAUACGUCCUACGGGAGAAAGUGGGGGAUCUUCGGACCUCACGCUAUCAGAUGAGCCUAGGUCGGAUUAGCUAGUUGGUGAGGUAAAGGCUCACCAAGGCGACGAUCCGUAACUGGUCUGAGAGGAUGAUCAGUCACACUGGAACUGAGACACGGUCCAGACUCCUACGGGAGGCAGCAGUGGGGAAUAUUGGACAAUGGGCGAAAGCCUGAUCCAGCCAUGCCGCGUGUGUGAAGAAGGUCUUCGGAUUGUAAAGCACUUUAAGUUGGGAGGAAGGGCAGUAAGUUAAUACCUUGCUGUUUUGACGUUACCAACAGAAUAAGCACCGGCUAACUUCGUGCCAGCAGCCGCCGUAAGAC
rnacentral:rRNA from 1 species